GUCAAAUGCUUCCAUUCUUGAAUCUGUUCACAAGAUGUCUGAAGUGUAGAACAGUGUUCAGAGCAGUAGUGAUGCACAGCACAUUGUGGGGGAUGUUACAGUACCCCAUAGGCUCAUGACUAACCAUAUAAUGCUCCUGCAGAGGACAGUCUGACCUGUUCCUACAGUACUGUGAAUUUCUCUCAUGGUAUGUUCAGCUUGAGGAAAGCACAUUAAGAACCCCUUACUUGUUUUCCGUCUCCCAAAUUCUUGAUAACCAUUUCUAAGCAAAGCACUUUGCAAUUAACAAUGGAGUCUCAAGUCCUUCCCUCAUUUCCACAUGGAGCUGGAUCUACCUACAGCCUAGCUCAAGGCAAGAGCUGCUACACCAGAUUAUUAUUGCCAGCACCAGUAUUUACCAAGAGGGGGCUGCAGGAUUAAGAGUAUACUUAAGUUAAUAUGCAAGAUCAUUUUAUGAUCACAAAACAUUAGUGGGUUCAUAGAAGCGACAGACGGAGUUUCACAGCCGAGUUACAGGAAAGAAGCGUGUUUAGAAACUACUACAGCGGAAAACAAAAGCACCCUAAAUUCAGGACGGAGAGGCAGCCUGUAAGAGCAAGGGAAACUCGAGUACGCUCUUCUACAACGAGCUAGUCUCCACGAAUGUUACCCCGCUACAGGUACCCGGAUCCAACCCUGAAAUUCAUACAGGAAUUAAUUCAAAGUACCAUGAGUUUGAGAAAAAAAAAACACGAAACAGUCCAGGUGUAACCCGGCCGGCUACUGAAGAUCGCAGAGGCGGUCCGCAGUCUGGAGCCCCGGGAGAGGAAGCGCUUCUCUUUCAGGACACAGCCGGAGAGACGGUGGGUAACCUGGGACCGCGAGUAACGUCAGUGUUGAAGCCCUUGUAACAGAAUCCGCAGCUGUCCGUCAGGACCGGAGCCCGCCUCCAGAGUGACCUUCCUCAGCGGACACGCCCCGUCCACCUGUUCCACAGGUGCGCUCGGCAAGAUGGCGGCGGGACGAGCUGGGGCGGCUCGAGGUGCGUUUGCGUUUUAUUUCGAAUUUUCUGAUUUUAAGUGCAAAAAAACAAAUUUCACUUUGGGGAAAUCAAGAUGAAAGUAUUUUGUUGUUGCUGCUCUUGUUAAUUGUAUUUGUUUUUCUCUUUUCUUUGUGUUUUAGGACGCCGAAAUGAGUGUUCUGUCCGUUUGGGCGUGCUCUCGAAGUUUGAAAAGUUUGUAUAAAGUAUCUUAUACUAUCAUGCAUUGAACUUUCAUUCAACUUGUUUUUAAAAUAUGGUAUCUCUUGGAGGCUGUAGUUUUUCUUCAAAUAUUUGCUUUUUAAAGUCCUUAGCUGUGUAAUGUCCUUUUGCGGAUUGGGGCUAUAAGAACGUUUUUCGUUAUAACAAAAAAAAAAUAACAAAAAUUGUCAAGAUUAAACUGACUAAUUCGUUAGCUUUUCAUUUCUCCAGGUGCCAAAAGGAUUUCAAGAACGGGAUACCAGUUAUGAAAAAGUGUUUUUUAACGGUAAAUUUUAUUCCUACCUUCCGCUAUUCUGUUAAUAUUUGUGUAACUUGUUAAGACGACACGAUUUGCCUGCUUUCUCACACAUUCUUGCCCGGAACAGGCAUAUAUUAACUACAUUGCUGCUUUUCGUUUCGUUGUGCUUUUGUUGAAUGGAAAAGCAAACUCUUAAGACACUGGUUCUUCAAUGGAAUUGAAUUCUUAUGUGGCUGAACGUAUGUUCUGGAGUUUUUUGGAGCGGCGGG
ensembl:lincRNA